rnacentral:rRNA from 1 species
GACGGAGGGGGCUAGCGUUGUUCGGAAUUACUGGGCGUAAAGCGUGCGUAGGCGGUUCAUUAAGUCGGUUGUGAAAUCCCUGGGCUUAACCUGGGAACUGCAGUCGAUACUGAUGGACUAGAGUACGGUAGAGGGUGGCGGAACUCCGGGUGUAGCGGUGAAAUGCGUAGAUAUCCGGAAGAACACCGAUGGCGAAGGCAACCACCUGGGCCUGUACUGACGCUGAGGUACGAAAGCGUGGGGAGCAAACAGG